rnacentral:lncRNA from 1 species
AUGAUCUUCUGGUGACCAUCAGAAGCGACGGCGCGCUUUUAAACGGAGGAAAAUUAAUUUUUAAUCUUGUCACAGGUCCAAUAGUGUCUGGCAUUAUCUGCGCAGGCGAGCAGGUGAACCAUCUGUAUCAGCGGGAAACUGAACAACCCUGGCAGGGGGAAGCUCGAGAGGCUGAGAGAAACGGACUUGACGUCUUGUUGACUUGGACUGCUGCUCCUUUAGCGGCAAACAAAAAACAGACGCCACAUGAUCAAAACCAUUACAAACACAAACAGAGUGUACAGACGACCAGCGCUGCAUCAGCAUAUUUUUCAGUGUUUUGAACAGUCUCUUCUUCUUGCAAAUUAUUUUAUUUAAAAUUCAUGCAUUCGAUUAACGAUAAAUUAAAACUUCAUUUCAUC